GGUUAAGCGACUAAGCGUACACGGUGGAUGCCCUGGCAGUCAGAGGCGAUGAAGGACGUGCUAAUCUGCGAUAAGCGUCGGUAAGGUGAUAUGAACCGUUAUAACCGGCGAUUUCCGAAUGGGGAAACCCAGUGUGUUUCGACACACUAUCAUUAACUGAAUCCAUAGGUUAAUGAGGCGAACCGGGGGAACUGAAACAUCUAAGUACCCCGAGGAAAAGAAAUCAACCGAGAUUCCCCCAGUAGCGGCGAGCGAACGGGGAGGAGCCCAGAGCCUGAAUCAGUGUGUGUGUUAGUGGAAGCGUCUGGAAAGGCGCGCGAUACAGGGUGACAGCCCCGUACACAAAAAUGCACAUGCUGUGAGCUCGAUGAGUAGGGCGGGACACGUGGUAUCCUGUCUGAAUAUGGGGGGACCAUCCUCCAAGGCUAAAUACUCCUGACUGACCGAUAGUGAACCAGUACCGUGAGGGAAAGGCGAAAAGAACCCCGGCGAGGGGAGUGAAAAAGAACCUGAAACCGUGUACGUACAAGCAGUGGGAGCACGCUUAGGCGUGUGACUGCGUACCUUUUGUAUAAUGGGUCAGCGACUUAUAUUCUGUAGCAAGGUUAACCGAAUAGGGGAGCCGAAGGGAAACCGAGUCUUAACUGGGCGUUAAGUUGCAGGGUAUAGACCCGAAACCCGGUGAUCUAGCCAUGGGCAGGUUGAAGGUUGGGUAACACUAACUGGAGGACCGAACCGACUAAUGUUGAAAAAUUAGCGGAUGACUUGUGGCUGGGGGUGAAAGGCCAAUCAAACCGGGAGAUAGCUGGUUCUCCCCGAAAGCUAUUUAGGUAGCGCCUCGUGAACUCAUCUCCGGGGGUAGAGCACUGUUUCGGCAAGGGGGUCAUCCCGACUUACCAACCCGAUGCAAACUGCGAAUACCGGAGAAUGUUAUCACGGGAGACACACGGCGGGUGCUAACGUCCGUCGUGAAGAGGGAAACAACCCAGACCGCCAGCUAAGGUCCCAAAGUCAUGGUUAAGUGGGAAACGAUGUGGGAAGGCCCAGACAGCCAGGAUGUUGGCUUAGAAGCAGCCAUCAUUUAAAGAAAGCGUAAUAGCUCACUGGUCGAGUCGGCCUGCGCGGAAGAUGUAACGGGGCUAAACCAUGCACCGAAGCUGCGGCAGCGACACUAUGUGUUGUUGGGUAGGGGAGCGUUCUGUAAGCCUGUGAAGGUGUGCUGUGAGGCAUGCUGGAGGUAUCAGAAGUGCGAAUGCUGACAUAAGUAACGAUAAAGCGGGUGAAAAGCCCGCUCGCCGGAAGACCAAGGGUUCCUGUCCAACGUUAAUCGGGGCAGGGUGAGUCGACCCCUAAGGCGAGGCCGAAAGGCGUAGUCGAUGGGAAACAGGUUAAUAUUCCUGUACUUGGUGUUACUGCGAAGGGGGGACGGAGAAGGCUAUGUUGGCCGGGCGACGGUUGUCCCGGUUUAAGCGUGUAGGCUGGUUUUCCAGGCAAAUCCGGAAAAUCAAGGCUGAGGCGUGAUGACGAGGCACUACGGUGCUGAAGCAACAAAUGCCCUGCUUCCAGGAAAAGCCUCUAAGCAUCAGGUAACAUCAAAUCGUACCCCAAACCGACACAGGUGGUCAGGUAGAGAAUACCAAGGCGCUUGAGAGAACUCGGGUGAAGGAACUAGGCAAAAUGGUGCCGUAACUUCGGGAGAAGGCACGCUGAUAUGUAGGUGAAGUCCCUUGCGGAUGGAGCUGAAAUCAGUCGAAGAUACCAGCUGGCUGCAACUGUUUAUUAAAAACACAGCACUGUGCAAACACGAAAGUGGACGUAUACGGUGUGACGCCUGCCCGGUGCCGGAAGGUUAAUUGAUGGGGUCAGCGCAAGCGAAGCUCUUGAUCGAAGCCCCGGUAAACGGCGGCCGUAACUAUAACGGUCCUAAGGUAGCGAAAUUCCUUGUCGGGUAAGUUCCGACCUGCACGAAUGGCGUAAUGAUGGCCAGGCUGUCUCCACCCGAGACUCAGUGAAAUUGAACUCGCUGUGAAGAUGCAGUGUACCCGCGGCAAGACGGAAAGACCCCGUGAACCUUUACUAUAGCUUGACACUGAACAUUGAGCCUUGAUGUGUAGGAUAGGUGGGAGGCUUUGAAGUGUGGACGCCAGUCUGCAUGGAGCCGACCUUGAAAUACCACCCUUUAAUGUUUGAUGUUCUAACGUGGACCCGUGAUCCGGGUUGCGGACAGUGUCUGGUGGGUAGUUUGACUGGGGCGGUCUCCUCCUAAAGAGUAACGGAGGAGCACGAAGGUUGGCUAAUCCUGGUCGGACAUCAGGAGGUUAGUGCAAUGGCAUAAGCCAGCUUGACUGCGAGCGUGACGGCGCGAGCAGGUGCGAAAGCAGGUCAUAGUGAUCCGGUGGUUCUGAAUGGAAGGGCCAUCGCUCAACGGAUAAAAGGUACUCCGGGGAUAACAGGCUGAUACCGCCCAAGAGUUCAUAUCGACGGCGGUGUUUGGCACCUCGAUGUCGGCUCAUCACAUCCUGGGGCUGAAGUAGGUCCCAAGGGUAUGGCUGUUCGCCAUUUAAAGUGGUACGCGAGCUGGGUUUAGAACGUCGUGAGACAGUUCGGUCCCUAUCUGCCGUGGGCGCUGGAGAACUGAGGGGGGCUGCUCCUAGUACGAGAGGACCGGAGUGGACGCAUCACUGGUGUUCGGGUUGUCAUGCCAAUGGCACUGCCCGGUAGCUAAAUGCGGAAGAGAUAAGUGCUGAAAGCAUCUAAGCACGAAACUUGCCCCGAGAUGAGUUCUCCCUGACUCCUUGAGAGUCCUGAAGGAACGUUGAAGACGACGACGUUGAUAGGCCGGGUGUGUAAGCGCAGCGAUGCGUUGAGCUAACCGGUACUAAUGAACCGUGAGGCUUAACCUU
rnacentral:rRNA from 1 species